GUGAAUGCUGCAAAGCAUUCACUGUAUUGUUUUUCUAAGCUUUAUUAUUAUUAGUGGGAGAGCUGAACAGCUCUCACACUAUUGUUAUCUUCGGUCUUUAUUAUUAUUAUUAUUCUUCUUCUACUUAUUCCGCCCUUUUUUUGAUUGCUAUCUACUUUUUAACGCUUCAUCGUAGAAUCGUCGUUCAACUUUCUAAACGUGUGUCAUCUUUAGGAGAUGUGGGCUAUUACUUUUUAUGUUUUCAGCUUUUCAACUUUUAACGUUAUUCAACUUUUUUCAUCGUUUUUUUAUAAUGGUCGUCUAUGGGAAUCAUCGUUAAACUUUUUGUCAACUUCCCUCUUUUCAUCAGCGUCUAUCAUCGUCAUACUUUAGCGUAGAAACGUCAUUUCAACUUCAAAAGCGUCCAUCAUCGCUCAACUUUCUCCUCGUAAAUCAGCGUUGUCGUAUCUUCUAUACUUUUCGACUAGUGAGCGUUUAAAUAUGGUGUGGUUUUUGUUAAAUUUUCAGCUUUUCCAUUAGUGUGUAUUGGGUCAUUUAGAGUGCGUGAUGUCACAGCCAGAGUGCGAGGGUGCGCUUUUUAAAGACAGAACUUCUGUCUCUAACUCGUCACUACAGCCACAAUUUUUACUCUAUCAACAUAAUUACUUCACUAAAUCGUAGUCAUACUUGUCUUCUUUCUAAUGAUGUGUCUGGAUAUACCCUCAGACCUAUACUUUAGUCGCUAUCAACCUUAAAGCGCAGAGAGAUCCCGAAAUUCUCCCAUAGACUCUAAUGAUAAUUUUCGGCAGACGUCUGGGGAGAAAAACAGAGGAGACAUAUUUUGAAAUUGCCACUGUGGCUACAAGCUUUUAUCCUCAAACAUAAAAUUCACACCAUUUGCUCAUUGAAGCCUUGGGACUCGUAAAAUGAAAUAAUUUUUGUGAUAACUAUCAUGGUUUAGUUGGAACAAGCCUGUUUAUACAGGGUGAAACUCUGUUUUACAGAGCAGAGUGAGCCUGAUUUUCCCGCCUUUCGUCUCCAUGGCGACGGCGCAGCUGCAGAUUUC
rnacentral:lncRNA from 1 species